UUCGCCCUUUUCCGGUUGAUCCUGCCGGACCUGACUGCUAUCGGAUUGAUACUAAGCCAUGCGAGUCAUUGUAGUAAUACAAGGCAGACGGCUCAGUAACGCGUAGUCAACCUAACCUAUGGACGGGAAUAACCUCGGGAAACUGAGUAUAAUGCCCGAUAGAACAUUAUGCCUGGAAUGGUUUAUGUUCCAAAUGAUUUAUCGCCGUAGGAUGGGACUGCGGCCUAUCAGUUUGUUGGUGAGGUAAUGGCCCACCAAGACUAUUACAGGUACGGGCUCUGAGAGGAGUAGCCCGGAGAUGGGUACUGAGACACGGACCCAGGCCCUAUGGGGCGCAGCAGGCGAGAAAACUUUGCAAUGUGCGAAAGCACGACAAGGUUAAUCCGAGUGGUUUCUGCUAAAGGAACCUUUUGUUAGUCCUAGAAACACUAACGAAUAAGGGGUGGGCAAGUUCUGGUGUCAGCCGCCGCGGUAAAACCAGCACCUCAAGUGGUCAGGAUGAUUAUUGGGCCUAAAGCAUCCGUAGCCGGCUCUGNUAGUUUUCGGUUAAAUCUGUACGCUCAACGUACAGGCUGCCGGGAAUACUGCAGAGCUAGGGAGUGG
rnacentral:rRNA from 1 species